rnacentral:rRNA from 1 species
GACGAACGCUGGCGGCGUGCUUAACACAUGCAAGUCGAACGGCAAGGCCCUGCUUUCGUGGGGUGCUCGAGUGCCGAACGGGUGCGUAACACGUGAGUAACCUGCCCUUGACUUUGGUAUAACUUCACGAAAGUGGGGCUACUAUAGGAUAGGAGACCCUGCUGGAUGGUGGGGGGUGGAACGUUUCGGCGGUCGGGGAUGGAUGCGCGGCUUUUCAGCUUGUUGGUGGGGUAGUGGAUUACCAAGGCUGUGACGGGUACGCGGCCUGGGAGGGUGACCGGGGACAAGGGUACUAAGGGAGGGAGCAGACGCCAACGGUGGGCAGCGGGGGGAAAUAUGGCACAAUGGGCGCAAGUCGGAGAAGGAAACGUCGCGGGCGGGAUGACGGUCUGUGGGGUGUAAACCGCUGUCGCCUGUGACGCAGCGUGAGUGACGGUAAUGGGUAAAGAAGCACCGGCUAACUACGUG